UCAGGUUUGGCAUAGAACACAGCACUUCUGCUAGUUGUGAUGAGGCUGAUGUGGGAGACAGGAGUGCAUCAAGCCUGAGAGUCUGGACCUGCAUUGUUUGUGCAUAUAUUUAAGCAUCAUGCACGUCUAUACAUGCAUAUGUUUUACUCACUAAUUUCUGACUGUAAUCUUACAUUUUAUACUGUGAGGAUCUUAUUCAAAUUAGGUAGUUCUUUGUGAGCCCAUGUAAGUUAUACAAGGAUCAUAUGCAAAUUAGAUGUUCUUUUGUGAGCCCACUUAUGAACAGGUGCUUAAUGUAGAUUUCCACUUCACUAGAUGAAUAGUUAGGUGUAUUCAAGUGUACACAAUAUCUAGGUUCUGUCAGGUGUAUAGAAUUGCAGACUCUUUGUAUGACACAUUUUCAUUUGUGUGUGCUAGUAAAAAUGCACAUGCAGACUGCUCACUUGGAUAAUUGAUCUUGAAGAGAGAGGUCUGUGUUACAGUUUUGGGGGGUAUUUCCAAGGAAAGGAACCGGCGGGGUGUGGUGCCAUGCAACCCAGUGCAUGCUGAGACUGUUCUUCCCUCUUCUCAAUGCCGAAUUACGGCGGUCAACGUACGGGUCAACCUCGGCCAUAUAUAUAGUCAACCUUGGACGACGUAUACUCGAGCAACCUCGGCUAGGACAGAGUCGGGUGUUUCAAGGUCGUUCAAGAGUUAUCUUCAACCAGAUCAACGGGGCGCAUCUCUAGCUUUCCACUGUUCAAGGUAAUCAUUCGCCGUCGCUACUGGUCAACACACGUUCGUCAUUGCAGUCGUCGCAUAUAGUUUCAUCGAAGUAUCAACGUUAAAUGAACUCAGAGAAGACAAACAUUUAUUUAAGCUUCAUUGAAUGCCAGUAUCCUAUUUACAGAUAAUUAUUAUUUUGUAAACGACAAUAAUAUGAUGUGUUCUAUUUGGGCAAGGAUAUUUGUAAUAUCCUCCUUGAUUUGAGUUACAUUAAAUGUUUCAUUCAACCAAUA